ensembl:lncRNA
AAUGACAUCACAAUACCCCAUAAUGACAUCACAAUACCCCAUAAUGACAUCACAAUACCCCAUAAUGACAUCACAAUACCCCAUAAUGACAAAGUGAAAAAAUGUUUUUAGAAAUGUUUGCAAAUGUAAAAAAAAAAAAAAAGAAAUACCUUACGUAAGUAGUCAAACCCUUUGCUAUGAGGCUUGAAGUUAAGCUCAGGUGCAUCCUGUUUUCAUUGAACAUCCUUGAGAUGUUUCUAAAACUUGGAGUCAACCUGUGGUAAAUUCAAUUGAUUGGACAUGAUUCGGAAAGGCACACAACUGUCUAUGUAAGGUCCCACAGUUGACGUCAGAGCAAAAACCAAGCCAUGAGGUCUAGAAUUGUCCUAAAGCUCCAAGAUAGGAUUUUUAUUUUACCUUUAUUUAACUAGGCAAGUCAGUUAAGAACAAAUUCUUAUUUUCAAUGACUGCCUAGGAGCAGUGGGUUAACUGCCUGUUCAGGGGCAGAACGACAUUUGUACCUUGUCAGCUUGAGGAUAUGAAUUUGCAACCUUUUGGUUACUAGUCCAAUGAUCUAACCACUAGGCUACCCUGCCGCCCCAGAUUGUGUCGAGGCACAGAGCUGGGGAAGGGUACCAACAAUUUCUGUUGCAUUGAAGGUUCCCAAGAACACUGUGGCCUCCAUCAUUCUUAAAUGGAAGAAGUUUGGAACCACCAAGAGACUCUUCCUAGAGCUGGCCGGCAAUAGCAAAAUGAGCAAUCGGGGGAGAAGGGCCUUGAUCAGGGAGGUGACCAAGAACCCGAUGCUCACUCUGACAGAGCUCUAGAGUUCCUCUGUGGAGAUGGGAGAGCCUUCCAGAAGGACCACCAUCUCUGCAGCAGUCCACCAAUCAGGCAUUUAUGGUAGUGUGGCCGGCUGGAAGCGAUUUCUCAAUAAAUGGCACAUGAAUUUUCCAAAUGCACCGAAAGGUCUCCUUAGACCAUGAGAAUCAAGAUUCGCUGGUCUGAUGAAACCAAGAUUGAACUCUUUGGCCUGAAUGCCAAGCGUCCCGUCUGGAGGAAAUCAAUUUUAAAAUAAGGCUGUAACGUAACAAAAUGUGGGAAAAGUUAAGGGGUCUGAAUACUUUCGGAAUGCAGUGUAUAUUUCACCCCCAGCAAAUAUCUUUUCUGUCACUCACCUGUCCAUUAGUUGAGUAAAACCUAUUUCAGAGGAACACCUGUACAAAAUGACAUCACUUGUUAUAGAUACCUUUCUGUUUUGCAGCCUCCGCUAUAUAAUAAAGAUUGAAGUUGUUCCUUUGUUGCUUUGUCCUGUAUGGUUCUUAGGCGCUCUGCGUGGCACAGAGGCAAGUGUGACCUUUGACUUUCAGAAUGACGUUGCCCC